rnacentral:rRNA from 1 species
UACGUAGGGGGCAAGCGUUGUCCGGAUUUAUUGGGCGUAAAGAGCGUGUAGGCGCCAAACAGGUCCACUGUGAAAACUCGAGGCUCAACCUCGAGAGGUCGGUGGAAACCGUCUGGCUAGAGUCCGGAAGAGGAGAGUGGAAUUCCCGGUGUAGCGGUGAAAUGCGCAGAUAUCGGGGAAGAACACCCGUGGCGAAGGCGGCCUCUCGUCGG